AAUGGUUACUGGAAUGACGAUGAUAACGAGAUGCAAUUCAACAGGUUGCAGAUUUUGGCGAUUUUAACGAUAGACAAUGACUUAGAUCUCGUCACUUGUCUAAGAACACUCGCUAUAACUCCACUGGUAGAAUUAGACACAAGCCUUAUGCAGUAGUUAACAUUUCAAUGAUUCAGGAUGGAAUACAUGUAGUUUUACAAAUUAGCGGAUGUUGUCAGUUCUACUGAUUGACUGUAACGUUUGCGGGUCACUUUAUUUGGUUCAUUUAUUUCUUUCAUUAUUAGUAAUUUUAAUUGUUUUCUGAAAGAUUGAUCAUUAUUAUUUUGUUUCUUUCUGAAAUUUUCAUUCAUAAAUUUUAGUGACGUAACAAACCUCGCAUUAGUCAUUAUAUUCAAAAUAUGUUUCCCUUCUCAACCAAUAAGAGCGCUCGAUUAAGUUCCCGGGAAAAUUUAGCUCGUGCAGUGAUUGUCUUCCGGAAAUCAUUCCCAGCUCAGAUGCUCAAGUGUGGACGUAUAGGUAAAGAGGGAACUUUCCACCAUGUGCGCGAUUUUUUUAAAGUGGUCUCGGCGCUAUUUUUGUGUUUUAUCAAGGGUAUUUAAGAUGAUGUGUAUUUCGACAUUUUCUAGGUAAGAAUUCCCCCUCCAAUUUGAUGUAUAUUUUGAAUUGACUAAAACUGGCUAGUUUUAGUCAGGGUUUGCUUAAAAUAUUUUAGCGAAGACUUUGAAUAUUUACGUAUUGAGACGUAGUUUAUUUAGAAGGCGAUUCGCGGGUUAAUUGAGUUAAAUUAUGAGCUAAGUUUUGAAGAGUUCUUUGAACUGAAUAAAUGUUUUCAGUUAGCGAAUAUCGAGAUUCAUCAGUUGUUUAGGUUAAAGCUAUUUAUAGAUUGCUUGAAAAAGAUUAAGGUUCGGGGUCAUUAUUUGUUGACAUUUUCGUACGUGUCUCAAAUCUAUGACUUGAACUUAAAGUGUUAAAACGUAAAGCGAGAUUAAAAUGCAAACCCUGGGCAGAAUGGCAGAAUGAGUCGUUAGAGAAAAUUAUAGUUGUAAAACCACUUUGUGGUCCAAGAAAUAAAGAGACAUUGCUGAAUUAGAGACCAUUGAAUUACAAAAUCAUACAUAUACUUGACACGCAGUUGAAUAAUAUUGUCUAAUAACGAUUGUGUGUUGUUUAAUAAAAGUUGUACUUUA